rnacentral:rRNA from 1 species
GACGAACGCUGGCGGCGUGCUUAACACAUGCAAGUCGAACGAUGAAGAAGAGAAACGCGAACUUCGGUUCAAAUUUCACUUCGGAUUAGUGGCAGACGGGUGAGUAACGCGUGAGCAACCUACCUCUUACAAAGGGAUAGCCUCGGGAAACCGUGAUUAAUACCAUAUGACACAUUCAUAAGGCAUCUUAAGAAUGUUAAAGCUACGGCGGUAAGAGAUGGGCUCGCGUCCCAUUAGCUAGUUGGUGAGGUAACGGCCCACCAAGGCGACGAUGGGUAACCGGCCUGAGAGGGUGAACGGUCACAUUGGAACUGAGACACGGUCCAAACUCCUACGGGAGGCAGCAGUGGGGAAUAUUGCACAAUGGAGGGAACUCUGAUGCAGCGACGCCGCGUGAGCGAUGAAGGAAUUCGUUUCGUAAAGCUCUGUUCUAUGGGAAGAAAAGGACUGUACCAUAGGAGAAAGCACCGGCUAAAUACGUG